UCCGGAGGGUGCAAGCGUUAUCCGGAUUCACUGGGGUUAAAGGGUGCGUAGGCGGGUAGAUAAGUCAGUGGUGAAAUCUCCGAGCUUAACUCGGAAACUGCCAUUGAUACUAUUUAUCUUGAAUAUUGUGGAGGUAAGCGGAAUAUGUCAUGUAGCGGUGAAAUGCUUAGAUAUGACAUAGAACACCAAUUGCGAAGGCAGCUUACUACACAAUGAUUGACGCUGAGGCACGAAAGCGUGGGGAUCAAACAGG
rnacentral:rRNA from 1 species